GAUGAACGCUGGCGGCGUGCCUAAUACAUGCAAGUCGAGCGAACAGACGAGGAGCUUGCUCCUCUGACGUUAGCGGCGGACGGGUGAGUAACACGUGGAUAACCUACCUAUAAGACUGGGAUAACUUCGGGAAACCGGAGCUAAUACCGGAUAACAUGUUGAACCGCAUGGUUCAACAGUGAAAGACGGUCUUGCUGUCACUUAUAGAUGGAUCCGCGCCGCAUUAGCUAGUUGGUAAGGUAACGGCUUACCAAGGCAACGAUGCGUAGCCGACCUGAGAGAGUGAUCGGCCACACUGGAACUGAGAAACGGUCCAGACUCCUACGGGAGGCAGCAGUAGGGAAUCUUCCGCAAUGGGCGAAAGACUGAAGGAGCAACGCCGCGUGAGUGAAGAAGGUCUUCGGAUCGUAAAACUCUGUUAUUAGGGAAGAACAAAUGUGUAAGUAACUAUGCACGUCUUGACGGUACCUAAUCAGAAAGCCACGGCUAACUACGUG
rnacentral:rRNA from 1 species